rnacentral:rRNA from 1 species
CGCGUAGGCGGCCAAGCAAGUCAGGGGUGAAAGGCCUGGGCUCAACCUGGGAACGGCCUCUGAAACUGCUAGGCUCGAGUGCGAGAGAGGAUGGCGGAAUUCCCAGUGUAGAGGUGAAAUUCGUAGAUAUUGGGAAGAACACCGGUGGCGAAGGCGGCCAUCUGGCUCGUGACUGACGCUGAGGCGCGAAAGCGUGGGGAGCAAACA